rnacentral:misc_RNA from 1 species
UAUCUUCAAGUCUCCUAGUU